GGGGAUAAAUUAAAUAAUUAUAAAUAAUAAAAAAAUUUUUAUAAUAUAUGUAUAUAUUAAAGGGGGGUUUAAGUAUAUUUAUAGAAAAAAAUUUAUUAAUUUAUAGUUAAUUAGUAUUGUAAAAGAAUUUUGAAAUAGUUGAAAAAAAAAUUAUAAAAAAGUAAUUUUAAUUUAAUGUAUCUUGAGUAUCAGAGUUUAUUAAAAAAAAAUUAUAUUUAAAUAAAUUCUCGAAUUUAAAAGAGAUAAUUAAUUAUAAAAUUUAUUGUUGUAAAAAUAUUUUUAAUAGUUAAUUUGAAAUGAAAUGUUAAUCGUUUUUAAAUAUAUCUAGUUUUUUUAGAAAAAAGUUUAAUUUUAAAUUAUUGAAAAAUUUUUAUUAAAUAAAGUUAAUUAAUUUUAAUAAAAUUUUACAUAUAAUUUUAUAAUUUAAGGGAUAAGCUUUAAAUUAAAUUUAUAUAAUUAAAUUUAAUAAAAAAUUAUUAAAAAUUUUAUGAUUUAGAUUGUUAAAAAUUUUUAAUUUAUUAUAAAUAAUUUUAAUAAAAGUAAAAUUUAAAAAAAAUUUAUAAUAUUAUGAAAAAAUAAUUUAAAAUAAUAUUAAAUUAAUUAUAAUGAUAAAAUUAGUAUAUAAAAUUUAAUUAAAUUAAUAAUUUAAUUUAAGUAAUUAAAAGGAAUUCGGCAAAAUUUAUAUUCACUUGUUUAUCAAAAACAUGUCUUUUUGUUAAAAAUAUAAAGUCUAAUCUGCCCACUGAUUAAUUAUUAAAGGGCUGCAGUAUUUUGACUGUACAAAGGUAGCAUAAUCAUUAGUCAUUUAAUUGAUGUAUGAAGGAUUGGAUGAAAUAUAAGCUGUCUUUUUAUUAUAUUAUAAAAAUUAAUUUUUUAUUUAAAAAGAUAAAAUAAAUAAAAAAGACGAGAAGACCCUAUAGAGUUUUAUAGAUAAUUUUAUUAAAAUUAAUUUAUAAUUUAGUUAUUAAAAUUUAAUUAUUUAUUUUAUUGGGGGGAUAAAAAAAUAAAAUUAACUUUUUUUUUAGUUUAACAUAAAUAAGUGAUAAAUUGAUCCAAUUAUAUUGAUUAUAAGAAAAAAUUACCUUAGGGAUAACAGCGUAAUUUUUUUUUUUAGUUCAUAUAAAAAAUAAAGUUUGCGACCUCGAUGUUGGAUUAAGAUAAAAUUUAAAUGUAGAAGUUUAAAAUUUUUGAUCUGUUCGAUCAUUAAAAUCUUACAUGAUCUGAGUUCAAACCGGUGUAAGCCAGGUUGGUUUCUAUCUUUUUAAAAAUGGAAUAUUUUAGUACGAAAGGAUUAAAUAUUUAAAUUAAAUUUAAAUUAAAGAAUAUUAUUAAAAUUAAUUUUAUAAUUAAUAAAAUUUAUUUAUAUGAU
rnacentral:rRNA from 1 species